rnacentral:rRNA from 1 species
UGGCGAACAGGUGAGUAACACGUGGGUGAUCUGCCCUGCACUCUGGGAUAAGCCUGGGAAACUGGGUCUAAUACCGGAUAGGACCAUGCUUUAGUGUGUGUGGUGGAAAGUUUUUUCGGUGUAGGAUGAGCCCGCGGCCUAUCAGCUUGUUGGUGGGGUAAUGGCCUACCAAGGCGGCGACGGGUAGCCGGACUGAGAGGUUGGUCGGCCACAUUGGGACUGAGAUACGGCCAAG